GAGGAAAAAAAAAUGCAGCUUCACAUGGGCAUAAGAAUGCAGAAAAUUUGCCUGCAGAACCCCAAUUCAGAAAACGAAAAGGCGUUCAUUGGGGUACCAAAUCACCAUUGCUGAACAAUCAUUUAAAAAUAUGCUCAGUAAGAGAGGGAGAUAAAUAGAAGGAAGGAGCUUGCUAAUGCUAACUCUUCAGCAGAACAAAGCUUUGCUCAGUAUCUCAUCCUUUUUCCACAAAUGAUGAGUUUAACAUAGGUUAAUUGCCUGAGUCCAGGCCUUAAUUGAUG
rnacentral:misc_RNA from 1 species